rnacentral:rRNA from 1 species
UACGUAGGGUGCGAGCGUUGUCCGGAAUUAUUGGGCGUAAAGAGCUUGUAGGCGGUUUGUCGCGUCUGCUGUGAAAAUCCGGGGCUCAACCCGGACUUGCAGUGGGUACGGGCAGACUAGAGUGUGGUAGGGGAGACUGGAAUUCCUGGUGUAGCGGUGGAAUGCGCAGAUAUCUGGAGGAACACCGGUGGCGAAGGCGGCAUCCUGGACCGACACUGACACUGAGGAGCGAAAGCCAGGGAGCAAACGGG